UACGGGGGGGGCAAGCGUUGUUCGGAAUUACUGGGCGUAAAGGGCUCGUAGGUGGCCAACUAAGUCGGACGUGAAAUCCCCAGGCUCAACCUGGGAACUGCGUCCGAUAUUGGAUGGCUUGAAUUCGGGAGAGGGAUGUGGAAUUCCAGGUGUAGCGGUGAAAUGCGUAGAUAUCUGGAGGAACACCGGUGGCGAAGGCGGCAUCCUGGACCGGUAUUGACGCUGAGGCGCGAAAGCCAGGGGAGCAAACGGG
rnacentral:rRNA from 1 species